CGCGACGUGUCCGCUUCAUCAGUCGAUCGCGCGGCGCGGCGGUACGCUCAGGUACAUAUCAGUUUGAUAGUGUCAUUCGUGGUCGCCGGCCACUUGUCGCGCUCUCGGAAGUAAGCGAUUCUCGCAGAGCGACACCGACAAUAGCCGAGUUGCGACCAAGGCCCGACCGAACGAUCGCCGGUAACAGUAAUUGUCGACGAAAUACCGACGCGGGUCCUGCGUGUUAAUAAGGUGCAGAGAUCCAAGGACGAUAGACCGCCGACGAAGAAAGAGAGAGAGAGAGAGGGAGAGAGAGAGAGAGAGAGAGAGAGAGAGAGAGAGACAUGCAAUCACGACGACCCGACGCGACGCUCGGUCACCAGCUGCUACACUCGGCCGCGGAAACGCUGCUUUUCGCGAUCAUCUGCGGCGAGCUCGUCCUGGGCCCGACCUGCGCUCAGUAUCACGAUGUUCCUGGUGACAUAGUCUUCCCCGGGCCGAUCGGCUCGAGAUCAAGGGACCAGUCCGCGGCGGGCUCCGCGGAUGACAAGGAGGGACUGAUAUCGCUCGAAUUAGCUUCUAGGUUAAACUCUAUAGACACGUCGGAGGAAUUUCUGCAGUUGCUUCAAGGCGUUCCGGAGAACGAAAGGAGUCCCUCGUUAACUAGUAGAUUCGGCGAGGGCGAAGAACGAUCGAACGCGAUGAAGACGCAGCCGGCUAAGUGCAUACCCGAACUGCAACCUGUUUCCUUGAAACUGAACAACGAACCUGGAACCAUCGUGUAUCCGCCCUGCACGCGAAUCAAAAGAUGCGGCGGCUGUUGCAGCAGCUCUCUGUUGUCUUGCCAACCGACGGCCUCGGAAACGCGAAACUUCGAGGUGAUCGUGUCGACGAUGUCGCUACACUACCGAGGUCGGCAAAUCGUGCCUCUGGAGGAGCACACGGCGUGCAAGUGCGACUGCAGAAUCAAGGAGGAGGAUUGUAACGAGAAGCAGCAUUACGAACGGGCUAACUGCAUGUGUGUGUGCGACAAUGUCGACGAGGCGGAGAAGUGCAGGCGGAACAACAACAUUAAAAUCUGGGACCCGGAGGUGUGCGUCUGCUCGUGCAGGAACAUCGAAAUGUGCAACACCGGCUACUACUUCGACCACAACACGUGCAGGUGUGAGCUGACAGAAUGUCGACAGAUAAUGUUCUCUAGACCGCUAAACAGAUUCGAAACUACGAAAGCUUCGAAUUACAAUUUUGAUAACGCCCAACGACCGGAAAAUGUACCGCCCGUGAUAAUCCCAUUGGACGCAUCGGAUCCCAGAAGAAAGCACAAGGAAGAUCCGGAAUACAAGUGAUACGAGAAUUCAGACGGACGCUCACGGACUACAAGACUGCUAAGACGCAUCUACGCUCCGUUAAUGUUUUCAUUAAUCUGACGCCUCGGAACUGGAACAGCUGAAUUUUAUCUCACUCAGCAUGUUGCAAGAUAAAUUUGUGCUUCCAUCUUCGAGCCACGGAGCGAAGCGGACUGUUUUACUUCCAAGGUGUUGUUUUGUUAUAUUAUUGUAUACGUUUACUAUUUAAUAAAGUCCAAAGGGGCGCUUGAUGCGUA
rnacentral:misc_RNA from 1 species